CCCAGUGUGAUUCGUCACACUAUCAUUAACUGAAUCCAUAGGUUAAUGAGGCGAACCGGGGGAACUGAAACAUCUAAGUACCCCGAGGAAAAGAAAUCAACCGAGAUUCCCCCAGUAGCGGCGAGCGAACGGGGAGGAGCCCAGAGCCUGAAUCAGCAUGUGUGUUAGUGGAAGCGUCUGGAAAGGCGCGCGAUACAGGGUGACAGCCCCGUACACAAAAGCGCAUGUGCUGUGAGCUCGAUGAGUAGGGCGGGACACGUGGUAUCCUGUCUGAAUAUGGGGGGACCAUCCUCCAAGGCUAAAUACUCCUGACUGACCGAUAGUGAACCAGUACCGUGAGGGAAAGGCGAAAAGAACCCCGGCGAGGGGAGUGAAAAAGAACCUGAAACCGUGUACGUACAAGCAGUGGGAGCCCCACCACCAAAGCAUUCUCUGGUGUUGAAGGCCCUGCAAAGCAGCAUCGCGGUGGCGGAGCGUCGUUUGCGACGCCCAACACACAAAACAAGCGGUGAGUGCUUUGGGGUGGGGUGACUGCGUACCUUUUGUAUAAUGGGUCAGCGACUUAUAUUCUGUAGCAAGGUUAACCGAAU
rnacentral:rRNA from 1 species